rnacentral:tRNA from 1 species
GCGUAGCUCAAUCGGCAGAGCAGUUGAUUUGUAAUCAACAGGUUAAGGGUUCGAUUCCCCUCG